UACGUAGGGUGCAAGCGUUAUCCGGAAUUAUUGGGCGUAAAGAGCUCGUAGGCGGUUUGUCGCGUCUGCUGUGAAAACUGGGGCUCAACCCCAGCCUGCAGUGGGUACGGGCAGACUAGAGUGCGGUAGGGGAGAUUGGAAUUCCUGGUGUAGCGGUGGAAUGCGCAGAUAUCAGGAGGAACACCGGUGGCGAAGGCGGUUCUCUGGGCAUGAUCUGACGCUGAGGAGCGAAAGUGUGGGAGCGAACAGG
rnacentral:rRNA from 1 species